rnacentral:rRNA from 1 species
AGUGAACGCUGGCGGUAGGCCUAACACAUGCAAGUCGAACGGCAGCACAGUAAGAGCUUGCGCUUACGGUUGGCGAGUGGCGGACGGGUGAGGAAUACAUCGGAAUCUACUUUUUCGCGGGGGCUAACGUAGGGAAACUUACGCUAAUACCGCAUACGACCUACGGGUGAAAGCAGGGCAUCUUCGGACCUUGCGCGAUUGAAUGAGCCGAUGUCGGAUUAGCUAGUUGGCAGGGUAAAGGCCCACCAAGGCGACGAUCCGUAGCUGGUCUGAGAGGAUGAUCGGCCACACUGGAACUGAGACACGGUCCAGACUCCUACGGGAGGCAGCAGUGGGGAAUAUUGGACAAUGGGCGCAAGCCUGAUCCAGCCAUACCGCGUGGGUGAAGAAGGCCUUCGGGUUGUAAAGCCCUUUUGUUGGGAAAGAAAAGCAGCAGGUUAAAACCCCGCUGUUCUGACGGUACCCAAAGAAUAAGCACCGGCUAACUUCGUG